GCCUCGGUGGUGGAAUUGGUAGACACACGGGACUUAAAAUCCCGAGGGGGCGACCCCGUGCCGGUUCGAGUCCGGCCCGAGGCACCA
rnacentral:tRNA from 1 species